rnacentral:rRNA from 1 species
UACGGAGGGUGCAAGCGUUAUCCGGAUUCACUGGGUUUAAAGGGAGCGUAGGUGGCUUUGUAAGUCAGUGGUGAAAUAUUGCGGCUCAACCGCAAAACUGCCAUUGAUACUGCUUAGCUUGAAUCACGUCGAGGUGGAUGGAAUAAUACAUGUAGCGGUGAAAUGCUUGAUAUGUAUUAGAACACCGAUUGCGAAGGCAGUUCACUAGGCGUGUAUUGACACUGAGGCUCGAAAGCGUGGGGAUCAAACAGG